GUGUGGAGAACGAAGCCUCCAUGCUGGUUGGAGUUUGCAGUGACUCUUUAUCUAUCGACACGUAACAGUAAGUUGUGGCAUGUGGGAUGCUGCCUCAGCGUGGCCUGACGAGCAGUGCCAUGUCCGCGCCCAGGAUUCGAACUGACGAAACACUGGGCCGCCUGCAGCGGAGUGCGCGAACUUAACCACUCGGCCACGGGGCCAGCCCCGGACGGCUCCCCCUUGAGAAGAGAAGGAAUGACUAGGACUAUGAUAAGAGAAGGAAUGCUGAUGAAAAACGGUGGAACCGUCAACACAGUCGCCAUCAGUCAGGGAGAGAAGCGGGGGUGGUAUUUGCUUUGCUGUGGAUAAAGAAUUAGCUUAAUAGGAAAUAAAAGGUGGAAGAAAAUAGUUGCUUCUCAAGAUGGAAAAAUGUUACGAGUUUAUUUAAUAGUUCUGUAAGUGAUUUGGAUCAGAGAGUACACAGUGAGCUCUCCAAAAUUAAAGAUGGAAGUGAAAUGUCAAACUGACAAGGAUAAACCUUACUAAGAUCUCAUGAGCUUUCAUGAGUGGGUAGAGAAAUAGCAAAUAAGCUCGAGCGUGGGCAAGUGAAAGCAAUAUAUUCAGGGAAAAUGAUAUAAACUUUGCUUACAACACCUCUUGGUUUCAAUACAAGAAA
rnacentral:lncRNA from 1 species